ensembl:lncRNA
AUUCUCCACAGGGGAGGAGGCCCUGUGUUAACCACCCCCACGUGGGCAUGAUUGGGGGGAGGUGCAGGGUAUCUGGAGGCCCGCCCUGACUGCCAACAGCUGACCCAUGAGCAGCCUGCAAUAGGAGCUUUCUUCUCUUUGGGGGAAGGAGAGUGACCCUGUGGACAGUUUCAGGACAUGUCACAGGUUUGACCACCUCUGUGGCUAAGGUACAUAAUGGGGACCCUCUUCUAAGUUCCUCUUACUGACCUUCUGACAGCCUGAAAACACUAAAUGAAUCUUGACUGCAAGAGGACAUGGAGUUUAUCUGUUUCAGAAGCUAGGGGAAGAGUUAGAAAAUAAGGUCUGUAAUGUGUGUGUGAUAGUCACUCAGUCAUGUCCGAUUCUUUGAGACCCCAUGGAUUGCAGGCCGCCAGGCUCCUCUGUCCGUGAAAUUUCCUAGGCAAGAAUACUGGAGUGGGUUGUCAUUUCCUCCUCCAGAGGAUAUUCCUGACCCAGGGAUCGAACCUGGAUAUCCCACAUUGUGAGCAGAUUCUUUACCAUCUGAGCCACUAGGGAAGCCCCAAGGCCCAUAACAGAUCCAUGAAAAUCAAGAGGAUCUCCUUGUGGAGCUCCACGUUUUUACCUACCUCUAUAGCAGGGAUCCCCAACUUCCGGGAUCUAACACUUGAUGAUCUGAGGUGGAGCUGAUGUAAUAAUAAUGGAAAUAAAAGUUAGUCAGGGCUUUCCUGAUGCUCACAUGGUAAAGAAUCUGUCUGCAGUGCAGGAGAUCCAGGUUUGAUCCCUGCGUCGGGAAGAUCCGCUGGAGAAGGGAAUGGCUACCCACUCUAGUACUCUUGCCUGGAGAAUUCCAUGGACAGAGCACAAUAAAUAGAAUGUACUUGAAUCAUCCCAAAACCAUCCCCCUCCGCCUGAUCUGUGGAAAAGUUGUCUUCCACGAAACCGGUCCCUGGGGUCAAAAGUUUGGGGACCACUGCAUAGCAUAUAAUUUCCUCCAGAAAUUACAGCAGGGUAUAAGUGAGAAUGUUAGGAGUUCCUUCUGUCCCCUGAGGAGAGUUUAUAUCCCUGUCCAAAUACACCAAGUUGCUUUGAAAUUGAACAGUGGACUCAGCUCAAUGACUAUUUCCCACGGAUUAGCCUCACAAAGAGGAAAUUCAAAUUUGAGCUUCCAGAAAAUGAAAGACUUGAAUUUCAUGGGUGCUGAAGUUUGGGCAGAUUCAUCAAAAUUGCAUGUUCUUAACCUGUGAGCGUCAGGUGUCAGCUGUGAUGAGUCCUUGGUGUGGUUUUUUGAACUCCAGUAUGCCAGGCAUUGUACUGCGAGCUUGACAGCCACUGUGGAGUUAGCCAAGAUCGUGGCCCUGCCGUGAUCUUGUGUUGUGCAGGGCCGCCAAGGGCCAACUCCAUCUGUGCAGAGGACCUGGACUCCACUCUUGCCCAUUUGGGGCUCCUGCCAGGAAUCCUUGACACUGGAGAUGCAUCUGAUUGAUUCUGGGAUUGGGAAAAGGGAUUGAAGCAGAAUCCCUUCAGCAGUGGGAAGAACAAAAGUCAUGGGAACUGGGUUGUGGAAACAGCAGGAGGAGGCGAGGACUUUUGUUUGAAGGGAAAGAACUGGAGAGUCCUGUCAGAGGUGAGGCUGAGAGCGCUCUGACAAGCAAAGGACACGUGCUGUUUAUAAUCUUAAGUAGGCUUGAUUAUACCUUGAAAGCUUUGUGGCCUCUCUUCCAGGCACCUGGGUCCAAUUAUCCAGGGCCCCAUCUACCUAGAAGAAAAAACUGCAUUUGACUCUCCCAGACUGACUGCACUCUCACCAGACUCUCAUCCUCUUUCUCACAUGAACUUAAAGGAAUGCAAGUGGUAGAGGGGACCAUGGCUGUUGAAAUACACCCUCUAGGAUUUCAUCACUGUUUCAUGUGUUAAAACAGCCUUAAGUUUGAUCAUCAGCAACUUACUCCUCUGCACAGGUUGUCCUGGUAAAAGAAUGAGAUGCUUAUUUUUUUCCCAACUUCACUGAGAUGCAACUGACAUAUAGCAAUGGGAGUUCAUGGUUUCCAGUCUUACUUUUAAGUCCCUAAGCCAUUUCCAGAUGAAGAAAGCGGGAUUUAGAGUAUCCAGACUCAGCUGAAGACUGGAUCCAAAUCCAGACUGAUCCCACAAUCUUGCUUUUUUAUGUCAUCCUCCCCUUAUAGUACCCUGGUCUGCAGGCAGCCUCAAGGACAUCUGAAAAAUGAUUCCUUAAAGAACACAUGGCCAGUAGGAACACCUGAGUUGGCAGUGCUGGAUGAGACGAGUCAGUCCCAGCCAGCUCAACUUGAAUAGGGAAUAAAUGGCAUUGUACCAGGCUCACCUGUAAUUCUGCCUCAACCAUGCAAUUUAGGGUUUAAUUAUAUGCUGUCUUGAGUUGUUUACUAAUUGUUGCAGAGGUCAAUCUUUUACUUUUAUUCAUCAUUCUUCAUUCAGUCAUCAAAUAUAUUGGAGCAACUGGGCACAUUCCUCCUCUGGCAGCCCCUGUGAUAACCAGCAUGGAGAGUCUGUACAGUCAUCCAAACUGGAUAAUUCAAUCAACUCUCCACUUGGAGCCUCGUAUUUGAUGAUCUCAUUGUUGUGGAAAUCUGAGAGAUGAAAAUAUAUAUUGGAGUCAAGAGAGGAGUGUUUUGCAAUACCAACCAAAAGCCUUUAAAAUGUUCUGUCGGUCCAAAAUUUCUACUCAUAGAAAUUCACCUUUAAUAAUCAGAAUUAUUAAUGAAGAUUUAUAAUAAGAUGUUUAUUCAGCUGUGGUGCAUGAUCAUAAUAAAAAUAGAAAUAACCUAAAAAUAUGACAUUAGGAGGAUGGUUGAAUAAGUAACCUCUCUUUGAAUGGCACACAGAUAUUUAAGUUGAACUUUGGAGAUGAUUUAAUGACUUGGGAAAAAUAAUCACAUUUGAAUGUUAAGUUUGAAAAGGAGGAUCACAACUUGUGUAUAUAGUAAACAUGGUUUUACAAAAUAUGAAAGUACCAAAUGUAUAGUGAAGAAACUGACCCCUAAAUUACCAAAGCAUAAGAAAAGAACACAAUAUACUAAAUAAAGG